CAGGCCUAACACAUGCAAGUCGAGCGGUAGAGAGAAGCUUGCUUCUCUUGAGAGCGGCGGACGGGUGAGUAAUACCUAGGAGUCUGCCUGAUAGUGGGGGAUAACGUUCGGAAACGGACGCUAAUACCGCAUACGUCCUACGGGAGAAAGCAGGGGACCUUCGGGCCUUGCGCUAUCAGAUGUGCCUAGGUCGGAUUAGCUAGUUGGUGAGGUAAUGGCUCACCAAGGCUACGAUCCGUAACUGGUCUGAGAGGAUGAUCAGUCACACUGGAACUGAGACACGGUCCAGACUCCUACGGGAGGCAGCAGUGGGGAAUAUUGGACAAUGGGCGAAAGCCUGAUCCAGCCAUGCCGCGUGUGUGAAGAAGGUCUUCGGAUUGUAAAGCACUUUAAGUUGGGAGGAAGGGCAGUUACCUAAUACGUGAUUGUCUUGACGUUACCGACAGAAUAAGCACCGGCUAACUCUGUGCCAGCAGCCGCGGUAAUACAGAGGGUGCAAGCGUUAAUCGGAAUUACUGGGCGUAAAGCGCGCGUAGGUGGUUUGUUGAGUUGAAUGUGAAAUCCCCGGGCUCAACCUGGGAACUGCAUCCAAAACUGGCAAGCUAGAGUAUGGUAGUGGGUAGUGGAAUUUCCUGUGUAGCGGUGAAAUGCGUAGAUAUAGGAAGGAACACCAGUGGCGAAGGCGACUACCUGGACUGAUACUGACACUGAGGUGCGAAAGCGUGGGGAGCAAACAGGAUUAGAUACCCUGGUAGUCCACGCCGUAAACGAUGUCAACUAGCCGUUGGGAGUCUUGAACUCUUAGUGGCGCAGCUAACGCAUUAAGUUGACCGCCUGGGGAGUACGGCCGCAAGGUUAAAAC
rnacentral:rRNA from 1 species